rnacentral:misc_RNA from 1 species
CUAGAGUGUUCAAACUCUCCAAACCCAUGUGAACUUACCACUGUUGCCUCGGUGGUUUGGGUCUUCGGGCCUGACCACCGGCGGACUACUAAACUCUUGUUAAUUUUUGGCAUUCUGAAUCAUAACUAAGAAAUAAGUUA